rnacentral:rRNA from 1 species
GAUGAACGCUGGCGGCGUGCCUAAUACAUGCAAGUCGAGCGAACAGACGAGGAGCUUGCUCCUCUGACGUUAGCGGCGGACGGGUGAGUAACACGUGGAUAACCUACCUAUAAGACUGGGAUAACUUCGGGAAACCAGAGCUAAUACCGGAUAAUAUAUUGAACCGCAUGGUUCAAUAGUGAAAGACGGUUUUGCUGUCACUUAUAGAUGGAUCCGCGCCGCAUUAGCUAGUUGGUAAGGUAACGGCUUACCAAGGCAACGAUGCGUAGCCGACCUGAGAGGGUGAUCGGCCACACUGGAACUGAGACACGGUCCAGACUCCUACGGGAGGCAGCAGUAGGGAAUCUUCCGCAAUGGGCGAAAGCCUGACGGAGCAACGCCGCGUGAGUGAUGAAGGUCUUUGGAUCGUAAAACUCUGUUAUUAGGGAAGAACAAAUGUGUAAGUAACUAUGCACGUCUUGACGGUACCUAAUCAGAAAGCCACGGCUAACUACGUG